GGAAGUAAAAGUUGUAACAAGGUUUCCGUAGGUGAACCUGCGGAAGGAUCAUUCAUAAUAAGUGUUUUAUGGCACUUUUUUAAAUCCAUAUCCACCUUGUGUGCAAUGUCAGGGUUGGUCUCUUUUGAUCAGCCCCAAACAUCAACUAUUAUCUCAACUCUUUGUCUGAAAAAUAUUAUGAAUAAAACAAUUCAAAAUACGACUUUCAACAACGGAUCUCUUGGCUCUC
rnacentral:misc_RNA from 1 species